rnacentral:rRNA from 1 species
CAUUAGUUGCUACGCAAGGGCACUCUAAUGAGACUGCCGGUGACAAACCGGAGGAAGGUGGGGAUGACGUCAAGUCCUCAUGGCCCUUAUGGGUAGGGCUUCACACGUCAUACAAUGGUCGGUACAGAGGGUUGCCAAGCCGCGAGGUGGAGCCAAUCCCAGAAAGCCGAUCGUAGUCCGGAUUGUUCUCUGCAACUCGAGAGCAUGAAGUCGGAAUCGCUAGUAAUCGCGGAUCAGCAUGUCGCGGUGAAUACGUUCCCGGGCCUU